ensembl:snRNA U6 U6 spliceosomal RNA
GUGCUCGUUUAAGCAGCACAUACAACUAAAAUCAGAACAAUACAGAGAAGAUUAACACGACCCCUGCACAAGGAUGAUGUGCAAAUUCAUGAAGUGUUCCACAUUUGA